AUUGAACGCUGGCGGCAGGCCUAACACAUGCAAGUCGAACGAGUGGCGGACGGGUGAGUAAUGUCUGGGAAACUGCCUGAUGGAGGGGGAUAACUACUGGAAACGGUAGCUAAUACCGCAUACCAUCAGAUGUGCCCAGAUGGGAUUAGCUAGUUGGUGGGGUAACGGCUCACCAAGGCGCCGAUCCCUAGCUGGUCUGAGAGGAUGACCGUCAACACUGGAACUGGGACACGGUCCGGACUCCUACGGGAGGCGGCGGUGGGGAAUAUUGGACAAUGGGCGCAAGCUGGAUGCAGCCAUGCCGCGGGGAUGAAGAAGGCCUUCGGGUGGUAAAGUACUUUCAGCGGGGAGGCGUUACCCGCAGAAGAAGCACCGGCUAACUCCGUGCCAGCAGCCGCGGUAAUAC
rnacentral:rRNA from 1 species